rfam:Dipodomys ordii contig_62393, whole genome shotgun sequence.
GGGAAGUUAGCUCAGUGGUAGAGUGCUUGCCUCGCAUGCAUGAGGCCCGGGGUUCAAUUCCUCAGCACCUUA